AUUGAACGCUGGCGGCAGGCUUGACACAUGCAAGUCGAGCGGGGUGAUGGUGCUUGCACUAUCACUUAGCGGCGGACGGGUGAGUAAUGCUUAGGAAUCUGCCUAUUAGUGGGGGACAACAUCUCGAAAGGGAUGCUAAUACCGCAUACGUCCUACGGGAGAAAGCAGGGGAUCACUUGUGACCUUGCGCUAAUAGAUGAGACUAAGUCGGAUUAGCUAGUUGGUGGGGUAAAGGCCUACCAAGGCGACGAUCUGUAGCGGGUCUGAGAGGAUGAUCCGCCACACUGGGACUGAGACACGGCCCAGACUCCUACGGGAGGCAGCAGUGGGGAAUAUUGGACAAUGGGGGGAACCCUGAUCCAGCCAUGCCGCGUGUGUGAAGAAGGCCUUAUGGUUGUAAAGCACUUUAAGCGAGGAGGAGGCUCUUUUGGUUAAUACCCAGAAUGAGUGGACGUUACUCGCAGAAUAAGCACCGGCUAACUCUGUGCCAGCAGCCGCAGUAA
rnacentral:rRNA from 1 species